GAUUCAACAACUGGAGAACGCACUGGCGAAUAAACGAUUAACGCAGUCAAGGAUGUGAUUGUUUUCCGAAAAAGGACAUUGAUCUUUGCUUGAAAAUGGACAACAGCUAUUUGCAUCAGCCUACCUUUCGAUUGACGGGAUUUUAGACUCCAAAGAUACCAUCAGAAAGACUUACACAUAACAUUCAUAAUUAUAACAUAAUUAUAACAUUGAUCAACUAAACGAUUUUCUCUCUUUCCUUUGUGUACAACUUCUUGCCUAAUAACACAUAUAACGAGCUUUAGAAGAUGUUCAUGAUAACAAGGAUUGAUCAAACGCUUAUUUAUAGCGUACGGACGAUACCAAACAACUUAACCUUCAACAGAUACAUCAAUCAAACCAAAGAAGAAUGUUGAGGUCUUUAUAAACAGAAGUUUUAACGAUUUCCUUAACUUUUUUUCUGAAACCUAAAUUUGAAAUAUUUUCUUUGAUAGAAGGAAAAGUCCUUAUAACUAUACUGUAACAGGAGGUAAUGCUGUCAGAAAAAACUAAGGGGUGUUUGGAAUUCUUAAUCUUUUUCAUAUUUAAGUGAUAUUUUUCACCAUAAAAAAACGGUACCUUGAUUAUUCUUUUCAUAUAUAACCUCAUUAGAGCUGUGUUAAGUACAAUAUAUUAAACAAUGACAGAGAAUGCUUGAGUUUCUAAUAGUUCUUAAAGAAUUUGUAAUAACACACUGUGACGCCCGGAAUGUUUUUUUUUUAUAAUUUGAUCAUUUUUUGCAGUAUAUCAAUAAUGCUAGAUGUAAUAUAAAUCUGUUUAUUUUAUUGUGUAUCGUUUAAGUGUAUCCUUUCCCUUUCUGAAGUGAUUAAUACGUCGGUGUUGUUACAGAACUGUUUUUAUACUUUUCAUUUAUAUGAUAUAUUAAAUCGUUUGUCUUUCUUAAAGGGAAAUUAAGAAACUUCCGCAAAUACAGAAUUCUACGUAUAUGUCAAACACUACGGAUGAAAGUACAUGAGCCUCACCUUUCUUUCCAAAUAUUUUGUUACAAAAGUCAAAUAGAUAGUGAACAGUUAUUUAUUUAACGACGUUUCACUUUCAAUUCGUUAGAUGCUUGUGUUAAAAAUACGACAUUUUUCGAC